UGCUUAACACAUGCAAGUCGAACGAUGAACUGGUGCUUGCACUGGGGAUUAGUGGCGAACGGGUGAGUAACACGUGAGUAACCUGCCCUUGACUCUGGGAUAAGCCUGGGAAACUGGGUCUAAUACCGGAUAUGACUCCUCAUCGCAUGGUGGGGGGUGGAAAGCUUUUGUGGUUUUGGAUGGACUCGCGGCCUAUCAGCUUGUUGGUGGGGUAAUGGCCUACCAAGGCGACGACGGGUAGCCGGCCUGAGAGGGUGACCGGCCACACUGGGACUGAGACACGGCCCAGACUCCUACGGGAGGCAGCAGUGGGGAAUAUUGCACAAUGGGCGGAAGCCUGAUGCAGCGACGCCGCGUGAGGGAUGACGGCCUUCGGGUUGUAAACCUCUUUCAGUAGGGAAGAAGCCGCGAGGUGACGGUACCUGCAGAAGAAGCGCCGGCUAACUACGUGCCAGCAGCCGCGGUAAUACGUAGGGCGCAAGCGUUAUCCGGAAUUAUUGGGGCGUAAAGAGCUCGUAGGCGGUUUGUCGCGUCUGCUGUGAAAGACCGGGGCUCAACUCCGGUUCUGCAGUGGGUACGGGCAGAC
rnacentral:rRNA from 1 species